UCGCGAAUUUCGAGAAAUAAAAUGAAGAAGAAAAGGAGAGAAGAUUCUGAACCGAGUGUUCAGGAAAAUAAAGAUUGCUCAUUUCAGAAUGACAAAGAUUGGCCUGCAACAAAAUGUGACUUGUCGAAUCUAGACGAGUCGCAGUUGCAAGCAAAUAAGCCGAAGAAAGAAAAGUUUAUGGGAUUUUUAACAAAUUUAUUCCAUAAAUUCUUGUUUUGUUGUUGCAUUUCAGGCGAGAUUUCUGAUUCCGAGACUUACGAACCGGAAAAGAAACUCGCACAUUCAAAGCAGGAACACGUCCUUUUUGAUAAAGCCAAUUAUUAUAUUGACAAGUACAAAAUUACUAAAGAAAUUGGACGUGGAAGUUUUGGGACUAUUUAUUUGGCUAAGACCAAAUAUUCUAGAAAGAAAAAGGCUUUAAAAAUCGUAAAGAAGAAAGUCUCUUCUUCUAAUCAGUUUGGUGAAAUCCGGAGAGAAACAAUCGUUUGGAAUUGCGUGUCCGCCCAUCCAAACAUUGUCAGAUUGAUUCGAUUCCUGCAAACUGACACAGCCUUUUGCUUUGUCUCGGAUUUUGUGGAGGGAGAAACUUUGACCGAAUUUAUACAAAAGAAUGGCCCUAUAGCGGAGAGAAAAGCAAAAGUGUUUGCCGCUCAAGUGGCCUCUGCUAUUAUGUAUAUUCAUAGGAAUGGAAUAAUACACCGAGACAUUAGUUCAAACAACAUUAUGUUAGAUGUGUACAAAGGUGCACAAGUAAUUGAUUUCGGUCUAUCCACAUACGAAAGAAAUCCAAGAGAUUUUUGUGGCACUUUAUCAUUUAUGUGUCCGGAAAUUCUCCAGAGGAAGCCUUACGAUUCUUUCUGUGACUGGUGGGCUUUCGCCAUCGUGUUAUUUCAAGCGUUGGUUGGAAGAACUCCUCUGGAGAUUUAUGUGAAAGAAGCUUUUGAUAUUGAUAAUGUGUAUUUAUUGCCCCGUUACGAACGGAUAAGAGCUGCUCUAAAUGUGAAGGUGUCGUAUCCUCCUGGAUUAUCGGAUGAUGCCAGACAUUUUAUUCGUGAUCUAUUGCAAAAGGACCCAUACAGACGUCCUUUAGAAGUAAAUAUAAGGGAACACGAGUAUUUUCAUAAAGUGCCUUGGCCAAAAAUUGUAUGUUUUAUUUUCCCAUAUCGCAUUUGAAUGUCACUUUACGAAAUAAAACAACUGAUUUUCUUUUGUAUUUUCAGACUUAGGGUUUUCGGCAGAAUAAACUGAACAUGAAGUUCGGAUCUUUGUUGAAAUCAAUGUGGAAGCCGCUUAAUUAAGUGGUCUUUGAAGAAAUUCAGGGAUUCAUUCCCUUUGUAUAUAGUUUUUUAUUUUUUAUUUUUAAAUAUUUGUGUUGUUUGUUAUCGUUAUCGUUGUCUUUUGUUCGUUGAGCA
rnacentral:misc_RNA from 1 species